AUUGAACGCUGGCGGCAGGCCUAACACAUGCAAGUCGAGCGGAUGAAGGGAGCUUGCUCCUGGAUUCAGCGGCGGACGGGUGAGUAAUGCCCAGGAAUCUGCCUGGUAGUGGGGGAUAACGUCCGGAAACGGGCGCUAAUACCGCAUACGUCCUGAGGGGGAAAGUGGGGGAUCUUCGGACCUCACGCUAUCAGAUGAGCCUAGGUCGGAUUAGCUAGUUGGUGGGGUAAAGGCCUACCAAGGCGACGAUCCGUAACUGGUCUGAGAGGAUGAUCAGUCACACUGGAACUGAGACACGGUCCAGACUCCUACGGGAGGCAGCAGUGGGGAAUAUUGGACAAUGGGCGAAAGCCUGAUCCAGCCAUGCCGCGUGUGUGAAGAAGGUCUUCGGAUUGUAAAGCACUUUAAGUUGGGAGGAAGGGCAGUAAGUUAAUACCUUGCUGUUUUGACGUUACCAACAGAAUAAGCACCGGCUAACUUCGUG
rnacentral:rRNA from 1 species